rnacentral:lncRNA from 1 species
CAGAAAGCCAAAACUGUCAAUGAGACACAAACCCACGGAGAUUAUUCCUGUAACUGUUGUUAAAAAAACAGUUAUAGAUGAGGGUCGGGAGAGUUUGUACUGGGUGCUGUCCAAUAUUUUUAUAAUCAAGGAUUUCCCGGGAGAGAUAGCCGACUACCAGUAUUAAACAUUGGCAAUUUUAAUGUUUUAAAGCGAAGAAGCAUAUUUCAGUGUAUUGUGUCCACUAUAUUUCUUCCCAAGCAACAAUGUAGAGAAUGACAAUCCAUCAACUGACUUGCUACAUUAUCAACAUUCAGUAUCGAGGACAAAUGACUUGACAAAGGUGCAAUUACAUUUGUUUUUAUUCUAUCAGAUAACUAAUUUCUUUGCUUUUUCAAUUUUAUAGUGUAUUUAUAUAUUGUAACAACUCUAAGAAAUUCACAUUUACACAAUGCAUUUUACUAGUAGGUAAGUACAUGUAACAUUCAGCUUUUGGGGGGACGGGGUCUGAAGUUUCUGUGGGGAUUCAUUAUAUCUUGGAUAUUACCAUAGAGAAUCAUAGUGAUUCCUCCUCAUACAUGGCAUGUCUGUCCACAACCUCUGGACAAACUGAACAUGUAAAACAUACUGGUCAUGCUCAUCACAUAUUGCCACUUUCGCACUGUAGAUAGAGUAUAUUGUGGUCGGUAAAAUAGGACCACAGCAUGUGGCAGGUACGUAGAUGAUGCUAUAUGGAUUUCAACAACAUUAGUAGUAUGUUUUAACCUAUGGCCUAUACUUCCUGAAACCUUCAUUAACACUCAAAUGAUGAAACAAAACACAGGUCAUACAACAAGUGAGAAUAAAAACAGAAGAAGAAGAACAGAAAGUGUUCUGAACAUAACUCAAAGACACCUGACUCUGUACACAGGCACUUGUAUAGCACAGUCUUUGAGUGUGCAUAUUACAUCUAAUAAGUGCUAAAACAAGAAACCGUUUACAAAAAAAUACUGAUUUCAAAAAAGAGAAUAAUAUUCAUAACAAAAACAAUAGAAGAACAUUGAAUGUUUUGCAUAUUUAUGUCUGUAACGUUAUUCAGCUUUACAUUCUUAUAUUAUCUUCCUUCACUCUACCAGUGUCCCCUGCUGUGGAAAAACAGUACAGAUCGAGUCAUACUGUAGAUUCUAUAUUGACACCUCUAUUCACCUGUGAGACAGCAUAGUGUUAGAUUGGGUCCGUGGGGCCGCCAGCCACAGUGAAAGGUUCACCAGUCGUUGAUGACAAUCUCUCCUGUCAGUCAGUGGUAUUAUGCCAAUCUGUUGGUCCACUGGGUCCUACUGCACUUCCAAUUGAGGAGCAAUAUGAAUCACACUGCUGUCAAUAAUAUUGUGUGAAACACUGUGUGUGAAGCCACUGGAUAUGUCACAAGCAGAGAGAGGCCUCCAGGGGGAAUAUAGUGUGGGUGUGUUGGUCUGUUUUCUAUUCAAAAGCCUCAAAACUCACUACUCUGAGAGUGUCUUCUCUACUGUAUCUUUGCUACGCCAGAUUAUUUCUCUCUCUCUCUCGCUCUCUCUUUCUCGCUCGCUCUCUCUCAAUAUAUCUACUUUGCUAUCUACCUACAUCUAAAUUCAAGCAUCAAACCACACCAAAGGGACCCUGAGUAAUCACAUGUCCCUGGGAAUCAAACCUGGACUUCAAAGCAGUACAGUUACAGUAAGCGUAGCUACAUUGCCAAUAUCUAAUACCUACUGCAUCAGACACAUUAGCGCCACCGCACACUCUUUAGCACACACACAUAUCUGCACGUGAGUGUGUGUGUGCGUGCAAGUGCUUGUGUUUAUUUCAGUGAGACGGAAGUCUCUGACGAGUGUCCCAUGUCUCCACUCAUUAGCAAGUACAAUAUAAUGGAUAAUUAAUGGGAGUCUUGAGUAUAGCCUACUGUACAGUGUUUGUAUAUCAACUCUGUAUACUAUUUCUUGCCAACUCUCGUCAGGCUACCAUGGAACAGCCUCGAAUACUGAUACUGCAGAGCCUCUUUCUGAUGAUGUCACAGUUCCAUUUUUGGCAGUUGGGCAUCACAUUACGUGUCAGGUCAAUGAGCCAGCAAUGUUCAAUAGUCCAAAAGUGCUCCUCAUAUUGUAUAUCACAGAUCCUGGGGUAAUGGAGCUGCACUGCUGAGGAAGCCUUGUAACUCCAACCACUGAGAGGCGGAUGCGCCACAAACAGACAUGACAGAAACAUCUCGAAUCUGUUAUAUUCAAAGCAUGAAUCAUUCCAACAGAAUCCUGGGGUCCAUGUUGGAUGGAGAAAAGGAGUCAAGUGUGUCAGAAAACAGAGGAGGGAUGGUGUAUCAUGUUGCGGUGAUGGAAUGAUGGAAUGAUGGAAUGAUCCACAGCCAAUGAGAAUAGGAGAGCACAGUAAUCAGAGGCAACAGUAUAACAACAACACAAAUGUGUCAGUCCCUGUACACCUUAGGAAUGUCUGUGUCUGUGGUAAGAAAAAGGAUAGGAGAUUUUGGAAAGGGUGACUAAUGCUGCAUUUAGACGAGGGACGCAGAAACCGUCAUACAAGAAGAAAGCAAGCCAGGACGACGGUAUGGUUGCUAUGGUGAUUUCGGUAAACAAACAGUGCAAAUCAACAUCCGGUAGAAAACAACGCUACGACAGUCAACAAAAGUUUAAAUAUUUUACCUCUGGUGGCAUGUCCCGUCUACCGUGACCUCAACGGCAUUUACCGUCGUGCUCUCAUUGAAAACAAUGACAUCCUGACGCCGUCUACCUCGUACCAUCUAAACGCAGCAUAACCGUUCCCCCACUGAGUUGUGUUGAAUAGAUGACAGUGGGAUACUAUGGAUCACAUGGAGGAUUACAACUGGCUGCUGCUGCUGAGGUCUGAGAAGACAGUCUGGUGGAGUGACGGAGUCACUGAGAGACUACUGCAGGACUAGCCCUGAGAACACACUACGAUUGGAUAGGAAUAGAUGGAGGGAUGCAAAGAGGGACAGAUAGUUACACGCUGAGAGAGAGAGAGUACAGACAAGGGGAGAGAGGGGACAGAGAGUUUAUCUACCUCUGAGGCACAAACAUUUGAUGAUGUGAGUGAAUAGGGGGCAAUUGGGGGAUGGAUGAAUAAUAAUUUUAGUAAAUGGUAAAAGGAAGUUGGCAAUGAACUUAUGGGGACACAAGAUAAAACUCCUUCAUGGGAUAACAUACUAACACACGUUUCAUAAGGAUUGGUCAACACCAGCUGACAGAAAAGACAGAGACCAGGAUAUCUAACACAGUGAUGCUUCUUGGAUUGUAGGUGGUAGUGAUAUUGCAACUUUUGUGACUUGAGGCAGACGGUUGGUGUUAGGGUUGGUAUUGGCGGAGAGGUUUAGUGUUCAAAGACACACUGGCAGAGUUGGGUUCUGUGUAGAGAUACUGGGUCAGCCUCUGUUGCUCCAGUCUGUCCAAUAAGGGUCCAUACUGGGACAAGAGGCCAGUCAGAAACCAGUGGCCACCCUUGGUGAAAAGGGGCGAUAAUGUCGUCAACUUCCUUGUUGUAUCCAAGAAGCCCACUCAGUCUGUACUCUUAUACUGUAUGUCCGUUCCCACAUCAAGGUUUCCAUGGCAACCCCACUUCCCCCUCUCCUCCUUUUCCUCCUUCCUGUCAGCGGCUUCUCUUCCUCAGACCUGGGGGGGAGGUGAGUCAGGUCCCCCAUCCACCCUCACCACU